GAUGAACGCUGGCGGCGUGCCUAAUACAUGCAAGUCGAGCGAACGGACGAGAAGCUUGCUUCUCUGAUGUUAGCGGCGGACGGGUGAGUAACACGUGGAUAACCUACCUAUAAGACUGGGAUAACUUCGGGAAACCGGAGCUAAUACCGGAUAAUAUUUUGAACCGCAUGGUUCAAAAGUGAAAGACGGUCUUGCUGUCACUUAUAGAUGGAUCCGCGCUGCAUUAGCUAGUUGGUAAGGUAACGGCUUACCAAGGCAACGAUGCAUAGCCGACCUGAGGGGGUUAUCGGCCACACUGGAACUGAGACACGGUCCAGACUCCUACGAGAGGCAGCAGUAGGGAAUCUUCCGCAAUGGGCGAAAGCCGGACGGAGCAACGCCGCGUGAGUGAUGAAGGUCUUCGGAUCGUAAAACUCUGUUAUUAGGGAAGAACAUAUGUGUAAGUAACUGUGCACAUCUUGACGGUACCUAAUCAGAAAGCCACGGCUAACUACGUG
rnacentral:rRNA from 1 species